CUGUGCAGAAAGACAAUGGGGUUCGUCUCCUUCCUCGGCCGCGUCCUCUUCGCCUCCAUCUUCAUGCUCUCUGCUUGGCAAGCGUUUAAUGAAUUUGGUGUUGAUGGCGGCCCUGCUGCAAAGGACUUGGCUCCCAAGUUUAUGUGUUCAAGAAAAAUUUGUCCGCUAAGCUAGGGGUUGCAAUACCGGAGAUAGAGGUAAGACAUUUAGCUGCUGGUGUGGUAGCAAUGAAAGGGCUUGGAGGACUUCUAUUCGUGCUUAACAGUUCCUUUGGAGCUUCUCUCCUGCUUCUACAAUUGGCAAUUACCACUCCCCUUAUCUAUGAUUUCUACAACUACAGUCCUGAGAACGCCAAAUUUGGCAUACUCCUAAACGAAUUCUUGCAGCACGCAGCGCUUUUUGGUGCACUGCUUUUCUUCAUUGGCAUGAAGAACUCAAUUCCAAGGAGGCAAGUCAAAAAGAAAGCUGCCCCAAAAACCAAAACAGGUUAGAAGUAUAUCAGAGGGGUAAUAGAUCUUCAUGAAGCGUUCAAAGUUUAGGCUGUCGAAGUGGCUGCUGCUCCGUAUACAUAUGACGUGGAUGGUAAUCUGCUUAUCAACGCCCCUGUAAUUUUAUUCGAAUGUUCUUAGGUAGGAUUUAUUACGUUGAUUAUUCCCUGUUGCGGGGUUGAGGUAUACUGUUUACUUCAAGAUAUGAAUUUGUUGUGGCCUAUGGUUUUCCUUUGUUCACAAAUCAUGCAAUCUACUUUUGCUAAAUGAAAUUAGAAUUUUCUUCA